rnacentral:rRNA from 1 species
CCUACGGGUGGCAGCAGUGAGGAAUAUUGGUCAAUGGACGAGAGUCUGAACCAGCCAAGUAGCGUGAAGGAUGACUGCCCUAUGGGUUGUAAACUUCUUUUAUAUGGGAAUAAAAUGUUCCACGUGUGGGAUUUUGUAUGUACCAUAUGAAUAAGGAUCGGCUAACUCCGUGCCAGCAGCCGCGGUAAUACGGAGGAUCCGAGCGUUAUCCGGAUUUAUUGGGUUUAAAGGGAGCGUAGGUGGAUUGUUAAGUCAGUUGUGAAAGUUUGCGGCUCAACCGUAAAAUUGCAGUUGACACUGGCAGUCUUGAGUACAGUAGAGGUGGGCGGAAUUCGUGGUGUAGCGGUGAAAUGCUUAGAUAUCACGAAGAACUCCGAUUGCGAAGGCAGUUCACUGGACUGCAACUGACACUGAGGCUCGAAAGUGUGGGUAUCAAACAGGAUUAGAUACCCGUGUAGUC